UAUUUUUAUGAAGAGCGGCGAACGGGUGAGUAACGCGUGGGAAAUCUGCCGAGUAGCGGGGGACAACGUUUGGAAACGAACGCUAAUACCGCAUAACAAUGAGAAUCGCAUGAUUCUUAUUUAAAAGAAGCAAUUGCUUCACUACUUGAUGAUCCCGCGUUGUAUUAGCUAGUUGGUAGUGUAAAGGACUACCAAGGCGAUGAUACAUAGCCGACCUGAGAGGGUGAUCGGCCACACUGGGACUGAGACACGGCCCAGACUCCUACGGGAGGCAGCAGUAGGGAAUCUUCGGCAAUGGGGGCAACCCUGACCGAGCAACGCCGCGUGAGUGAAGAAGGUUUUCGGAUCG
rnacentral:rRNA from 1 species